rnacentral:lncRNA from 1 species
UGUCAAAAGACAACAACCGACCACUAUAUGAAAAAUUCUUACAAUCACAUAAACCUUAGUAUUUUCUCCUAACAAAAAGUGUUAGAAAUACAUUUGGUUUGGUACAUUUGAAGACAUAACUUAAGUCCCCUUAUAUAGGCGAGCCUCCAAGCUACUCUUCAACAUUUUUCCAAUGUGGACAAUGACCAUUCUCAUUUUUAAGCAAAAUCCCAACAAACUCCACCUUGAUUAAAAAUGAUCAUAGCAGCAGCUAUCCGUCAUACUCCACAUUGCUGAACACCUGUCAUACUCCACCAUAAAGAGUAUCGCCACUUAGAAUAAACCAUUUUAAGAAUUUCCACUUCGGCUCAUGUCGAAAUACACCUUGCUGAUUAUUAUGGUGCAACUUCCACUAUUGGCUCUCCUUGGAAGUUCAUCAGCUAUCGACAUAAUUGUUUCAUCACACACCUUGCAUUCCUGCCAAACCAAUGCC